GGCUAGCGUAGCUCAGUUGGAAGAGCAUUGGGCUAGUAUUCCAAAGGUCAUAGGUUCGAAUCCCACCGUGGCCG
rnacentral:tRNA from 1 species